rnacentral:lncRNA from 1 species
UUUUUUUUUUUUUUUUUUUUUUAGUUCCCAACAGGUUGGAAUUAGCUUAAAUCUGUGAAGACAAAUAACCUAAUGUUAUAUUUACAGGGAUGGAGAGCAUGGACAUAUGACUGGCACCAUAACACAUUAAACAGUAGGACAUAGUGACAUGUUGGAUGCAUAAAUGGGAUCUACAUGCUGUGACUGGCUUUGUGGAUGAGGUGGCAACACAGCAUCCCAUGUAGGUUGUUUGACAGUUGCUUUCAGUUCAAGGACAGCCACAAACAACAGAGAGUUCAGAACAGGACACGUCUAAAUAAAUCAACACGUGAUAAUGUGUGCAUCCAGUAAAAAAUAAAAAUGAUUCCCAAAUGAAUGAAUCUAAUUACGAUUGUAUGUUCUUUGACAUCUUACUUUGCAACAAACAGCAACAGAGAGAAAUUAUGGAUUUAUGUUAAUAUAAUAACUGCUCUCACAUAUUGAUUACUUGCUGUAUAAGACACUGUGAUAAGUAUUUUAUAUUUAUUGAUUCUUUUUUAUUCCUCAUCAGUACUGUUUUCACAGAUACUCUACAGGUGGAAACAUUGAUGUUUAGAGAAACAGAAACCCUUGCCCAGUUUUUCAAAAGCCAGGACUCAAUUUUAAUCUCUGGCACCAAUACUCCAUUCUUAAGCACUUAGCAUCCAGCUCAUAAUUAACUUCCUGAUGGUGACCACAUUUAGGGAUAGAACAUGACUCCUUCAUUAGCUUUGAAGUAAAGAAGUCCUGAAGAGAUUACCAUAAGCAAAAGUGAAGCUCCUUUAGACCCGAUGAGGGGUAUACAAAGCCUGUGGUGCUCUGGGCUUUGGAGUUCCUCAUCAAGGGAAUAAUUGCUUUCAACAGCAAGAGCGUACUCCAAGUUUUCCCCAAAUUAUAUUCGUCUCAAUUGUCUUAAUUUUAUGAAAUGGUUUUGUAUUAGAUCCAUGUGGUCUUAGUACAGAUACAUUAACUACAAUCAACCAAGGAGGGUCAAGGUCAUUAUUACACAAAUACAACCAUGAAACCACAUGAAUGGAUAUACAGCUAUUCAUAGAAAUUGAAUUUCUCCUUUUUAAUCUCUUAGUAUGGCAUAGUUCAAAAUAAGGAUAAUCAUACAUUCUCCUUUAAUUAAAUAUGCUAAACAAGUAAAAGUCUACAAGCCUUUGUCUUGUCCCAGGCAUUAUGAGUCUUGGUUGAACUCCAGAAGGGGAGGACAUGGAUUGGAUUGAUUGUGAUUUUGAAAAUAUCUCUGUUGUGUCUCUUGUAUAAGAUAUAGUAGAAAAGAAUCUUCCCUAGAUUUAAGAUUUUAAAAAUGGGAAAUGGUUUACAAAUAGAUUUUAUAGAAGAAUAUUUUUAUGUGACUAUUUUUUUAUUUAGUAUGGUAAUGUUGCUCUCAUUUGUUGGCUUGUUUUGGUUUGGUUUGAAACAGGGUCUUUCUAUUUAGCCCUUGGCUAUCCUGGAACUCACUAAGUAGGUCAGUUCUGUCUGCCUCACCUCCAAAUUGCUGGGAUUAAAACAAUGCACAACCAUGCCUAGCUUUAUUAUGGCUCUCAUAUUAAUCUUAUUACACCUACCUACUUUAUUAUCUCUGAAGUGGGAGGAAACAUCUUUGUCAUUGCUAAAUUAAAUUCUGGAGCUCCGGUGAAAGUCUCUUCAAGCAACUAGAAACUAAUACAGCAAAUGACCCUUAGUUUGAUGGCUUUCUUUUUCUCCUUCAGAAUUCAAAGCUAGAUAUGCUUUAGUGUCUAAUACAAGGCUUAUACCUUGAAAAUAUUGCCUAGUGAUAAAAAAAUCAACCUUUCAAACUAUCUUUGAAAGAUUAGUUUUUAAAAAACAUAAAAAUAAUUAUUAUCCAUUGAAGAUAUGAAUCCACUUAACAAAACAACAACAUCAAAGAAAAAUCCUUGUGAGAAGAGUUUGUUUAAAGGCUAGUUAUUAUUUUUAUUGUUAUGAGGAUUAUAGUUAUCUGAUCGACUCUAUUAUUGUAUUAAGCUGGUAAGAUAUUAAGAAUGACACAGUACCACUCGGGAAGUCCAUGGAGAGAACAUUCAGACGGAGGAAAUGGCAUCCUGUUCACUCAGCAUCCUUUAGCACUUGCUGCUAGGGACAGAUCAGAAUAGACCAUUUGUUAAAAGGACGAAUGCCAAGUUUGUCUACAGUUGCAAAACUGUAAUUUGAUUUUGUCUCUAUCAAUAGUAUUUUUAAAUCCUCUACUGAAUUAAAAGGAGUAAGGAUGAAUAUUUACUGGGGUAGUUAUUGGAACAGACAAGUGAAAAUUGUUUCUCUGGACUUGAAAAAGGAGAGGCAAGCACAGAUGACACAGAACUUCCAAAGAGACUGCCUAAGCGUUUUCUGCAAGUUUUCUCAGCUUGCAGAAGAACAUUUAUUCCUCAUGAGGGUUUUCAUAGAUAAUUUUUAUGUUUAUAAAGAGAACUUAAAGCUACUUGGUAUACAGAAAUUUUAUACAAAAUCAUUUUGUAUGCAAGUAUUAAAAACUAUAUAAUCUGUACCAUUAGCACACAUUUGAGUUUUGCCUCCAGUGUCAGGUGCAGUGUUGACCACUCAGUAAACACUGUCUAAACUUUAUUAAAAAAUACGUAAAAAAAUACAUUUAUUGAUCAACAGCUUCUAUAGCAUCAGUAUUUUUAAAACUCAAGAAAGAUACUUGGAUAGCCAGAUGUUCUAUUGCUGAACAUUGAAGCUAGACAAGAAAGAGACAUCAUUUCAAAAUGUAGGGCAUAGAGACUAUAGGUAAUGGAAGGACAGAAAAGUUGGCUUUAGAUUUAGUGUGAAUCAUCAUUAUGAUCUAUAAGGGAAGAAUCCAGCAGAUGGUUGCAGAUGGUCCUAAUUAGCAUAGUUGAAAAACCUUAUCCCUUUCUUUAGAAAUGUUCUCAUAUAGCCUAUAGGCCUCAUUCAGAGUGGGCCCUGGCAGCCUUUGACAUAACUGGACAGGAAGUUACCUCAUAAAGGUUUAUUAGGCUGUAUGAUAUGUUGAUUUGGGAUUAUUUGGCCAUUUGAACUGGACAUUAGAAACUGAAAUCAUUGGUUAGGAUACCAGAACCAUAGGUUGUAUGCGUCAGUGUGUACACAUGUGUCCAUGUGUAUAUGUGUCCAUAGGUUGUAUGUGUGUGUGUGUGUGUGUGUGUGUGUGUGUGUGUCCGGUAUCCUGGCCACUCAUACUAAAGACUCAUUUCUCUUCUAUGGACAUUUCACUCCUCUGGAACAUUAUAGAGUGAGGAGGGAAUUCACAUUGCCAUUCUUAUGUGUUGCCCUUCUUUGGGUCUGCUUUUGGUUUCUGUGAGAUGCGAUGUCUUGCCUGGACCUGAGUUGAUUGAGUAAGACAGCUUGGAGGCUAGUGUUAGGACUGGUCCUCAGAGGCACUUCAGUAUCCAGCAGAGCAUUAGAUUGGAGGACUGAAAACAGUCAGUCUCCCAACCUUGACUAAUAAAAGUAGAUGAAGUAGUUCAAGUGAUACUAU